ACGCUGGCGGCGUGCUUAACACAUGCAAGUCGAACGAUGAAGCCUAGCUUGCUAGGUGGAUUAGUGGCGAACGGGUGAGUAAUACGUGAGUAACCUACCUUUAACUCUGGGAUAAGCCUGGGAAACUGGGUCUAAUACCGGAUACGACCAAUCUCCGCAUGGGGUGUUGGUGGAAAGCGUUAUGUAGUGGUUAUAGAUGGGCUCACGGCCUAUCAGCUUGUUGGUGAGGUAACGGCUCACCAAGGCGACGACGGGUAGCCGGCCUGAGAGGGUGACCGGCCACACUGGGACUGAGACACGGCCCAGACUCCUACGGGAGGCAGCAGUGGGGAAUAUUGCACAAUGGGCGCAAGCCUGAUGCAGCGACGCCGCGUGAGGGAUGACGGCCUUCGGGUUGUAAACCUCUGUUAGCAGGGAAGAAGAGAAAUUGACGGUACCUGCAGAGAAAGCGCCGGCUAACUACGUGCCAGCAGCCGCGGUAAUACGUAGGGCGCGAGCGUUGUCCGGAAUUAUUGGGCGUAAAGAGCUUGUAGGCGGUUUGUCGCGUCUGCUGUGAAAGGCCGGGGCUUAACCCCGUGUAUUGCAGUGGGUACGGGCAGACUAGAGUGCAGUAGGGGAGACUGGAAUUCCUGGUGUAGCGGUGGAAUGCGCAGAUAUCAGGAGGAACACCGAUGGCGAAGGCAGGUCUCUGGGCUGUAACUGACGCUGAGAAGCGAAAGCAUGGGGAGCGAACAGGAUUAGAUACCCUGGUAGUCCAUGCCGUAAACGUUGGGCACUAGGUGUGGGGGACAUUCCACGUUUUCCGCGCCGUAGCUAACGCAUUAAGUGCCCCGCCUGGGGAGUACGGCCGCAAGGCUAAAACUCAAAGAAAUUGACGGGGGCCCGCACAAGCGGCGGAGCAUGCGGAUU
rnacentral:rRNA from 1 species